rnacentral:rRNA from 1 species
UUCCUACGGGGCGCAGCAGUGGGGAAUAUUGCACAAUGGGGGAAACCCUGAUGCAGCGACGCCGCGUGAGUGAAGAAGUAUUUCGGUAUGUAAAGCUCUAUCAGCAGGGAAGAUAAUGACGGUACCUGACUAAGAAGCCCCGGCUAAAUACGUGCCAGCAGCCGCGGUAAUACGUAUGGAGCAAGCGUUAUCCGGAUUUACUGGGUGUAAAGGGAGAGUAGGGGGCAGAGCAAGUCCGAAGUGAAAACCCAAAGCUCAACUAUGGGAAUGCUUUAGAAACUGCUCA